UACGUAGGGCGCAAGCGUUGUCCGGAAUUAUUGGGCGUAAAGAGCUCGUAGGCGGUUUGUCGCGUCUGCUGUGAAAACCUAAGGCUCAACCUUGGGCUUGCAGUGGGUACGGGCAGACUAGAGUGCGGUAGGGGUGACUGGAAUUCCUGGUGUAGCGGUGGAAUGCGCAGAUAUCAGGAGGAACACCGAUGGCGAAGGCAGGUCUCUGGGCCGCAACUGACGCUGAGGAGCGGAAAAGCAUGGGGAGCGAACAGG
rnacentral:rRNA from 1 species